CCCUUCUGGAGUUUGGCAGAGGGGGGUGGAAUUCCACGUGUAGCAGUGAAAUGCGUAGAGAUGUGGAGGAACACCAAUGGCGAAGGCAGCCCCCUGGGUCGUUACUGACGCUCAUGCACGAAAGCGUGGGUAGCAAACAGGAUUAGAUACCCUGGUAGUCCACGCCCUAAACGAUGUCAACUAGGUGUUGGGAGGGUAAAACCUUUUAGUGCCGUAGCUAAC
rnacentral:rRNA from 1 species